GGNNGNNUANGAGNUAUANGCUCAUCAACCCUGUGAACAUACCUAAAACGUUGCCUCGGCGGGAACAGACGGCCCCGUAACACGGGCCGCCCCCGCCAGAGGACCCCCUAACUCUGUUUCUAUAAUGUUUCUUCUGAGUAAACAAGCAAAUAAAUUAAAACUUUCAACAACGGAUCUCUUGGCUCUGGCAUCGAUGAAGAACGCAGCGAAAUGCGAUAAGUAAUGUGAAUUGCAGAAUUCAGUGAAUCAUCGAAUCUUUGAACGCACAUUGCGCCCGCCAGUAUUCUGGCGGGCAUGCCUGUUCGAGCGUCAUUACAACCCUCAGGCCCCCGGGCCUGGCGUUGGGGAUCGGCGGAAGCCCCCUGCGGGCACAACGCCGUCCCCCAAAUACAGUGGCGGUCCCGCCGCAGCUUCCAUUGCGUAGUAGCUAACACCUCGCAACUGGAGAGCGGCGCGGCCACGCCGUAAAACACCCAACUUCUGAAUGUUGACCUCGAAUCAGGUAGGAAUACCCGCUGAACUUAAGCAUAUCAAUAAGCGGAGAAA
rnacentral:rRNA from 1 species